rnacentral:pre_miRNA from 1 species
GGCCUCCCUCUGUGGGGCGAUUGAUUGUGGGGUUCUGCGAUUGAUCGCCCAGCAGAGGGAGACC